GAGCUUUGAACAAAUCCAAACCUCCUGAGCUUCACCUCCACAAAGGUGUGACAGGUGAAGGACACCGGCGAAUAGGAGGACAGAACCUGAGAGCCAUUAGUCACAAGACUUCAGCUGCUGCUGCCUCACCAACCACUGGCCCCUCGGUGUCUGGUAAAAGGACGAUGCUGCUGUCCCAUGAGGCGAGGAGAGAAGUAGCCAAACAGGCAAGAGCCGUGAAGGAGGAACGACGGGCAGCUCUGGAUGCCCGACAUAAAUACCUGAUGAGCAGGCUGGCAGAUGGCGGCAGCCUGGAGGAGGCGGCGGUGGAAGACGCCAUCGUCUCUGAUGACAGAGUAAGUUCAGAGACGUGAUCCUUCCUCAGAGUUUAACCUUUGAGUCAUUAAUGUCUGAUUCUUCCAGUUCAGUCUGAUCCAUGAAUUCUUUGCUGCAAAUUUGGGCC
ensembl:lncRNA